AGAGCAGGAGGUGUUUGCACUCUUGGAAUCACACCUGUCCCCCUCUCCUCGUGGUGUGUGGGGUGCGGGUCUUGUUAGGGAGGCCAUUGCCACCUCAGGGUAUAAAGAUAGUGUCCUAUAUUUUCUUUUAUUACUUUUAUAACACUGCGUUGUAUGUUAUAUGUUCUAGUCCAUGUGGAAUUUGUUUGGUUUUGGUAUGGUUGAGGUAGAGAAUCUUUUUUCUCCCUAUGUGAAUAUCCAGCUGUUUUACAAUCUCCUAUUGAAUGGUUCAUUCUUUCCAUGCUUACCUAAAAUACUGCCUUUGUCUGGACCGUAUGCUGUUCCACUGAUCUACAUGUCUUUUCCUGUACCGGUGUCGCCUACGCAAUUCCAAUUGCUGUACAACAUAAUUUGAUAUUUGGUUGGGCAAGCUCCUGCUCUUUGAUCUUCUUCUUCAUCCUUUUCAAGCUGUUGUUACAUAUUUUCUCUACACAAAUGUCAGCUGGUCAGUUUUUGUAAAAAAAAAAAAAAAAAGCUAUGUUGGCAUUGGAACGGAAUUGCCUUGAAUUUGUAGAUUAAUUUGAGGAGAACUGGCAUCUUUACAAUGUUGAGAUUUCCUAAGAACAUGGUAUCUCAUUCCGCAUAAUCAGUUCUUCUUAAUGUCCUUCAGAAGAAUUUCAGUGUUUUCUUCACAUAGGUCUUGUACAUCUUUUGUUUAUUCCUGGGUACUUUAUACAUUUUUGUAUUGCUAUUGUGAAUGAAAUCCUUCUCCCAUUACAUUUUCUAAUUGGUUAUUGGCGGUACAUAGGAAAACUAUUGAGGUUUGUGUGAUUUUGUAUCUAGCCACCUCACUAAAUUCUAGUAUCACCCAUACCCAUUACUGUCAAGUCGAUUCCAACUCAUAGUGACCCUAUAGUACAUAGUACAACUGUCCCAUAGGGUUUCCGAGGCUGUAAACCUUUGUGGAAGUUUACUGCCACAUCUUUCUCCCACGGAGUGGCUGGUGGGUUUGAACCACAAACCUUUCAGUUAGCAGCUGAGUGCUUAACCACUUUACCAUCAGGACUCCAGAAUUCUCAUACUACUUUGAAAAAAUUUUAGUUCAUCUCUUGAGCUUUUUAUGUUGUCCAUCUGUCAUGGAUUGAAUUGUGUCCCCCCAAAAUGUGUAACAGUUUGGCUAGGCCACGAUUCCCAGUACUGUAUGAUUGCCAGCCCCCCCCCCCCAUUUUUUUUUGUUAUCUGUUGUGAUUUUCCUAUGUGUUGUAAAUCCUACCUCGAUGAUGUUAAUGAGGUGGGGUUAGAGGCAGUUAUGUAAAUGAUGAGAGAGAGAAGUGAGCAGAUAGACAGUGGAACCUCAUACUACCAAGAAACAAGAGCCAGGAGAACAGCAUGUCCUUUGGGUCCCUGUGCUGAGAAGCUCCUAGACUGGGGAAGAUUGAGAACAAGGACCUUCCCUCAGAGCUGACAGAGACAGAAAGCCUUCCCCUGGAGCUGGCACCCUGAAUUCGGACUUCUAGCCUCCCAGACUAUUUAUGCUCAUCGGGCAACAUCAGAGGAAGACAAAGAAGGAUCCUCACGGGGCUUUUUCCGAAGUCUGCUGCACAGGAGAUGCGUGUCGGAAAGUGAAAGUCAGGGGGGCUUUUUCUGGAGAAGGUGGCCACUUUGCCUCAGGGAUACGUAUAGACCUCUCAAUGCCACCCGCAAGAGAAACAUGGCACAUAAUCUACACGACAAGGAUUCUUCUGAUGAGGAUGAGAUUUUCAACAAAGAUGCUAGGGAAGCCAGCGAAGUCACAACAGAGAAGGCCAAGCCUACAGAGACGACUACAGAGGCCGAUGAGGAAAGUGAACUGCUUGAAGUCAAGACGACAGUGUGAACCCCAUCCUGCCUCAGGCUACUGCAAAUUUUAUUUUCUGAUAUUGGCUUCUCAGCUUUGCUUGUAAAAUACUUAUUUUUCUCAUAUUAAAAUCUAUAACCAGUUCUAGCCAUGUGGUAAGGGAUUGAAAUGUAAGCAGUUAAAUAUUGACAUAGGCAAGAAAAGCAGGGCUGUAACUAGAAUCCCUCAUGGUAGCCAUUCCAUAAGAGGCCAUGUGGGCAAAGAAGGACAAAUAGGGGCUUCGCUCUCCUGUUUCCCCAGUAUAAUCCAUCCCAGGGAAAUGGAAAACAUAUCAGCCACAAGGGGCGUAGAUUAUUAAAUCAAGUGCCGAUUUAUUCUGGCUCUCUCUCCUCUGUGCCUCAUUCAAGCCUAAGUCCACCAACACACUUGAGCCCUUGUCCAUAGGGUAUCAUACACCUUCUGGACCCUCUCAUAGUUUCUUUGAAGUUGUUAGAAUACUUGGAUCUCCACUGUGCGGCCAAGUCCUUCUUUUUUCCCCAAGACCUCAAACUCUUGCAAAAACGCAUGUCCUAUUUUGGUAUGGGAUUCUGUGCCCUUACAAGCUGGUGGAAAAUUCAUAUUUUUCUUUUUAAACCAUCCCAACCCUUGGUGUUAUGGAUUGAAUUGUGUCCCCCAAAAAUGUAUGUCAACUUGCCUAGGCUAUGAUUCCCAGUAUUAUGUGAGUGUUAACCAUUUUGUCAUCUGAUGUGAUUUUCCUAUAUGUUGUAAAUCCUACCCCUAUGAUGUUCAUGAGGCAGGCUUAGAGGCAGUUAUGUUAAUGAGGCAGGACUCAAUGUACAAGACUAGGUUGUGUCUUAAAUCAGUCCCUUUUGAGGCAUAAAAGAAACGAGCAGAGAGUUGGGGGAACCUCAAACCACCAAGAAAGAAGCACCAGGAGCAUAGUGCGUCUUUUGGACCUGGGGCCCCUGGGCUGAGAAGCUCCUCAGUCGGGAUGGUUGAUGACAAGGACCUUCCCCCAGAGCCAAAAGAGAAAGAAAGCCUUCCUCUGGAGCUGGCACCCUGAAUUCGGACUUCUAGCCUCCUAGACUGUGAGAGAAUAAAUUUCUCUUUGUGAAAGCCAUCCACUUCUGUUACAGCACCAUGAGAUAACUAAGACACUUGAGUAGCUAACAGGAGAGUGUAAGAGUAUCAGGGUAAAGGAAGAAUAUGUGAGAACAGUAAUUGCCCAAGAUCGCCCUCUUCAGGCCCAGGACGGUGCUGAUUCAGAAAAUAUAUUGGUGGCGGGCGGAGGAGGGGGUCACUUCUCUGCUCAUGUAUACUGCCCUAGCCUCUCAAGAACCCCACCAGGGAUCAAAUGUGUGCUGCUCGGCCCCCUCCAGCUCAGCCCAGCACCAGACCUACCUCCUUCCUUCCUCAUCCACCAGUCUGCAUGAUUCAAAGUGAUAACACAAGUAAAAAUUGCAGAAGAUGCAAGGGUUCCUGCACUCCUUCUGCUCCUCCAUGAGGGAAUCAGACAUGUUAAGAGCACAAAGAGGGGAUACCUACCCCUAUUUAAGUAUUGUACUAAAAGCAAAGACAAAGUUAUUAAUUCACAUUUGUAAGCCAGUGAGAGCUAAACACAUAAGUGAGUAAAAGAAAUUCUGAAUGAGCAAGAUUUGCUAAUUGACCUCCAUGACCACAAAUAAAUGCUGGCAGCUAUGUAAUCUGAGGUGAAGAAUGAUGCCAACCAAGGAACCACAGCACAGAGUCCCCCAGAAGAGCAAUGCAAUCAGGCAAUGGCCUCCUGGCAUAUUUUGCUGGUUAGGGUUCCAAGCAAAACGAACAGCCCAUCUGUACCUCAUUUGGUCCAUCAGUUUGCCAAUGCUGGGCAAGAGACACCUGUUCUCUUGAUACUAACCUGAGUCAGUUACCUCUCAGUGUUCCUUACUGAGGAUGAAAAACAAGCAUUUGUCCCUGCGUGGUGACCUCUGUGAGCCCACAAAUAUUUACUGUGUUUAAAGUACAAGACUAAAUAAUAAUAAUAAUAGGAAGCAGCAGCAGCUACCAUUUACACAUGCUUGGUGCCAAACUUACUUGGUGCCAGGCUCUGGGUUAAGAAUUUUGUAGUCUUAUCGCAUUUAGUCCAACCAUCCCUGGAAGGAUAUUUUGUUAUUCUCAUUUGACAGAUAAAGAAACAGGGCUCAAAGAAUGUAAGUAACCACCCCAAGUGCCCUAGGCUAUACAUCCAAAAUGGGUGAGUGAGGGUUUCAAGUGUCCACAGGAAAAUACAAUUUCCCAAAGUAUAUUCUGCCAACCU